rnacentral:rRNA from 1 species
CGUACGCUUCUUUUUCCACCGGAGCUUGCUCCACCGGAAAAAGAAGAGUGGCGAACGGGUGAGUAACACGUGGGUAACCUGCCCAUCAGAAGGGGAUAACACUUGGAAACAGGUGCUAAUACCGUAUAACAAUCGAAACCGCAUGGUUUUGAUUUGAAAGGCGCUUUCGGGUGUCGCUGAUGGAUGGACCCGCGGUGCAUUAGCUAGUUGGUGAGGUAACGGCUCACCAAGGCCACGAUGCAUAGCCGACCUGAGAGGGUGAUCGGCCACAUUGGGACUGAGACACGGCCCAAACUCCUACGGGAGGCAGCAGUAGGGAAUCUUCGGCAAUGGACGAAAGUCUGACCGAGCAACGCCGCGUGAGUGAAGAAGGUUUUCGGAUCGUAAAACUCUGUUGUUAGAGAAGAACAAGGAUGAGAGUAACUGUUCAUCCCUUGACGGUAUCUAACCAGAAAGCCACGGCUAACUACGUGCCAGCAGCCGCGGUAAUACGUAGGUGGCAAGCGUUGUCCGGAUUUAUUGGGCGUAAAGCGAGCGCAGGCGGUUUCUUAAGUCUGAUGUGAAAGCCCCCGGCUCAACCGGGGAGGGUCAUUGGAAACUGGGAGACUUGAGUGCAGAAGAGGAGAGUGGAAUUCCAUGUGUAGCGGUGAAAUGCGUAGAUAUAUGGAGGAACACCAGUGGCGAAGGCGGCUCUCUGGUCUGUAACUGACGCUGAGGCUCGAAAGCGUGGGGAGCAAACAGGAUUAGAUACCCUGGUAGUCCACGCCGUAAACGAUGAGUGCUAAGUGUUGGAGGGUUUCCGCCCUUCAGUGCUGCAGCUAACGCAUUAAGCACUCCGCCUGGGGAGUACGACCGCAAGGUUGAAACUCAAGGAAUUGACGGGGGCCCGCACAAGCGGUGGAGCAUGUGGUUUAAUUCGAAGCAACGCGAAGAACCUUACCAGUCUUGACAUCCUUUGACACUCUAGAGAUAGAGCUUCCCUUCGGGGCAAGUGACA